UGUGUGUGUGUGUGUGUGUGUGUGUGUGUGUGUGUGUGUGUGUGUGUGUGUGUGUGUGUGUGUGUGUGUGUGUGUGUGUGUGUGUGUGUGUGUGUGUGUGUGUGUGUGUGUGUGUGUGCGGUGCGUGUUUUUUUUUCUUUGACUUUCUUUCUGUCUUUCUUUCCCUUUCUUUCUACUGCAGAUGUGGCAAAAGAUUCUGUCAUUUCACCCAAGAAGGACACCAGAUGGUGAAUGGACUCCUGGCACCGGUGUUCCGGGUAACGCGGAAGCGGAAGCGGAAGGUUUUGACCAAGGCAGAUGAUGUUUUCCUGAAGGACACAAUUGAGGCAGCAGCAUGGUGCCAGUUGCAGACCUUCACCGACCACGUUUCUCUCCCGAUGGUCAUUGGGGUGGAAGGUGCAGAGCAGCAGGCAUUAUUAGCAGAGCUGAAAUCCGUUGACCGCAGUUGCCCGGAAGAAAGCCUAAACAGGAUUGAACCGUUCCAGUUCUUCUUCAAUUCAAAGAAGGACUACGAAAUGUUCUGUGUGGAGAUGUUUGACCGGAGAAAGCUGAAAGUGUUUGCUUCUUGGGAGUAGCGACAUUUUACCCAUUGUUUUAAUUGAACUGGGGGACCGGGGGCCGAUUCUUUAUGUUAUCAUUUAUAUAACCAGUUCUAAAACCAUUUUCAUUUGUCUUUAUAAAUAAAAUGAUGUCACGGUA